GCAUGCUUACACAUGCAAGUCGGACGGCAGCACAGAGAAGCUUGCUUCUUGGGUGGCGAGUGGCGAACGGGUGAGUAAUAUAUCGGAACGUACCGAGCAGUGGGGGAUAACUAAUCGAAAGAUUAGCUAAUACCGCAUAUUUUCUGAGGAAGAAAGCAGGGGACCAUUUGGCCUUGUGCUGUUUGAGCGGCCGAUAUCUGAUUAGCUGGUUGGUGGGGUAAAGGCCUACCAAGGCGACGAUCAGUAGCGGGUCUGAGAGGAUGAUCCGCCACACUGGGACUGAGACACGGCCCAGACUCCUACGGAAGGCAGCAGUGGGGAAUUUUGGACAAUGGGCGCAAGCCUGAUCCAGCCAUGCCGCGUGUCUGAAGAAGGCCUUCGGGUUGUAAAGGACUUUUGUCAGGGAAGAAAAGGGCGGGGUUAAUACCCCUGUCUGAUGACGGUACCUGAAGAAUAAGCACCGGCUAACUACGUGCCAGCAGUCGCGGUAAUACGUAGGGUGCGAGCGUUAAUCGGAAUUACUGGGCGUAAAGCGGGCGCAGACGGUUACUUAAGCAGGAUGUGAAAUCCCCGGGCUCAACCUGGGAACUGCGUUCUGAACUGGGUGACUAGAGUGUGUCAGAGGGAGGUAGAAUUCCACGUGUAGCAGUGAAAUGCGUAGAGAUGUGGAGGAAUACCGAUGGCGAAGGCAGCCUCCUGGGAUAACACUGACGUUCAUGCCCGAAAGCGUGGGUAGCAAACAGGAUUAGAUAUCCUGGUAGUCCACGCCCUAAACGAUGUCGAUUAGCUGUUGGG
rnacentral:rRNA from 1 species